ensembl:snRNA U6 U6 spliceosomal RNA
GUGCUCACUUCGGCAGCACAUAUACUAAAAUGGGAACAAUAUAGAGAAGUUGAACAUGGCCCCUGCACAAGGAUGGGACGCAAAGUUGUGAAGCGCUCCAUAUUUCA